UAAGCACAAAAGUUACCCCCUUAUAAUAUAUAUUUUUGGUUUAUCCAAAACUCAGUGUUAAAAUUGUAUGCGGGGACAAAAAAAAAUAUUACUGCCUAUAUUGCAGAGAGUGUCGGAUAUUUAACCCAUAAAUAAAAGAUAAAAGGAACUAAAAACACACAAAACCAAACCCAUCACCCCACUUUAUGGAUCAAAACUUCUCCUUUUUCCAGCAAAAAAUCAAGAACAUGUGAUGAACAUGUUGAAUGUUCAUCACGAACUUUCCUGAUUUAUUCACCCUUCACCAAAAAACCAAAGUGAAAACGCAACCUUACCCUAAAAUCACAUCCCAACCCCAAAUCAAACAUCAAUUCCAACAAAAAUACAAGAAAUCGAGCAGAUCAAGUACCCUAACCCUAACAAAAACCCUAACCUCAAUCCAUUAAAAAUAACUCAUAUUACAAGGAAUUUAAUACAAAUUAACAUAGGGGAAAUAUAAAUUGAGCAUGAUAAUGACAUAAGAACAUGAAAAGGCUACCAAAGGAAACUCCCACGAGGGUCUUCAAGCUCCAACGCGACAAUGUCGAUUUUUGGUGAGGCCAAAAAUGUCAGGACUUGCUCACAUGCUUGGAAUUGGCUUGAGGACUUGGGAAAACCAUAGAGCAAGGAAUUUGGGAUUUGGAGGCUUGUACACUUGAAAACAAGUGCAAAACGUUUGAAUUUCAUUUGGUCCUUUGUACCUUUAGACUUGUAAACCUUUUGUUGAAUACUUGUAAUUUGAAAAUGUUGGCUUGUACCUUUGUACCAAUAAAACAAAGUAAUUUCCUAAUUAAAUUAUUGAAUUAUACCUCUUAAGUCAAAAAAAAAUUUACCUUUCAAAA